rnacentral:rRNA from 1 species
AGCGAACGCUGGCGGCAGGCCUAACACAUGCAAGUCGAACGGAUCCUUCGGGAUUAGUGGCGGACGGGUGAGUAACACGUGGGAACGUGCCCUUUGGUUCGGAACAACUCAGGGAAACUUGAGCUAAUACCGGAUGUGCCCUUCGGGGGAAAGAUUUAUCGCCACUGGAGCGGCCCGCGUCUGAUUAGCUAGUUGGUGAGGUAAAGGCUCACCAAGGCGACGAUCAGUAGCUGGUCUGAGAGGAUGAUCAGCCACAUUUGGACUGAGACACGGCCCAAACGCCUACGGGAGGCAGCAGUGGGGAAUUUUGCGCAAUGGGCGAAAGCCUGACGCAGCCAUGCCGCGUGAAUGAUGAAGGUCUUAGGAUUGUAAAAUUCUUUCACCGGGGACGAUAAUGACGGUACCCGGAGAAGAAGCCCCGGCUAACUUCGUGCCAGCCGCCGCGGUAAGAC